AUGACCGUUCGGGUGUUUUGUGUUGUCUUGUGGUGUUUGUGUCACUCUGGCAGUGCUCGGGGGCGUGUCUAUCUCUGGCUGCUCACACACCUGGCUGAGGUCAUCACCACACCUGCUCUUCAUCAAUCUUCAGCAGUACUUAAGGAGCAGCCACACAUCCAGUCAACACCAGAUUGUUGUGAACAAUCAUUCCUGGAACUCAGCCCUGGAACCCAGUCCACUCAGCCCAAGCCUCCUGUAAGCCAGCCACUGGAUCCUCACACUCCAAGCCUGCCAGCCAGCCACUGUCUGGAUCACCCCCAUCUCUGGACUCCCACUCUCGCCUGCCAGCUCCCCCUUUUGUCACUAAUUUGGUCUAAUAAACUGUUUACACUCUACCUCUUGUCCGAUCUACUUCUGGGUUCCCCCCUCAGAAUCCUGACACAGGAGACGCAACUGAUCUCAGUUCUGAUUGAUAUUUCUUUUACUUUUAUUUACAUAUUUAAUUACAUUUUGCAAGUAACUCUGCCCUUCAGGAAAAAUAAUUGCAUUGUGAAGACUGAAGAUGAGAGAAAAACAUGUGAAGGUUUAAGGAUACUUACCAAAGUGUGUAACAGUUAUAUAAGUUGUAAUAGUACAAUGUUAUACCUUUAUAAGCAAUACAACAAACUCUCAGAUGAAAUCAGACGCUGUACUCUGUCCUUUACACAACCCAAAGGGAAGCUAAGCUAGGCUAGUUAGCUUUUAGCAGGACUAGUUUCUGUGGUGUGUUUUCAUUGUUUGGUUGGAUUUAGCUCCUUCCUUCUAUCUGUAUGUGCUAUAACAGACUGUAACAAGCUCUGUAGGGCAGUGGACUCACCAGAGGUUGGCAGAGAUUCUGCUGUUUAGUUGAGAAAAACCUGAUGGAUUCAGUUGAAUUUGUCUUCAGAGACAAACAGAGAGACUUGUCUCCACUGCAGCUCUGCUGUCUUCAGACAAACUUUCACUUUCAUUUCCAGGAAAUGUGUCACUGAAGCUCUUUCAGUGUUGCUCCUCCUCUCAGUGCAGAUCUGUGAGUGAGCUGUUAUUGACUGAUUGGGAAAUAUCUUCGUACCCUUUUUUCCCCUACA
rnacentral:lncRNA from 15 species